rnacentral:lncRNA from 1 species
GAUCGCGUUGGCGAUCGCGGUGGGGAUCUGCCUGCACGCGGGGAACCACCUGGCGUGCGACUUCCCGCGGCUGAUCGCGUCGGGGCCCGACGAGUACCGGCUGGUGGCGCGCUUCUUCGGGCGGGACAAGCCCAGCUACAGGGGCCUCCUCGCCGGCGCCGAGGGCGUCACCGGGAUCGUCAUGGUCACGCUCAUGGCCGUCUCCUUCACCCUCGCCACGCGCCCCUUCCGGAAGCGGGAGGCGGAGGUCAAGCCGGCCAGGUCCGCCCGCCGGUGGUGCUGGCCGCUCGCCCACCUCGCCGGCGGCUUCAACGCCUUCUGGUACUCGCACCACCUGCUCAUCGUCGU